AAGCAAAAGGGUGCUGCCUCUGUGAAAACGAUUUCACGGUUCCUCAUAUACUCAGAGUUACCUUAUGACCCAGCAAUCCCACUCCUUGUGUAUAUAUCCCAAAGCACUGAAAACGGAUUCAAGCUAAUACUUGUACACCAGUGUUCACAGCAGCAUUCAUCACAGGGGUCCAAAGGUGGAAGCAGUCCACACGUGCGUCAGCUGAUGAAUGGAUGGCCAGAUGUGCUUUGAACACAAAUAGAAAAUUAUUCAGCCACAGAAAGAAUUGAAACACAUAAAAGAUUUUCAUUUCUAUGUAAAGUCAGCAUAAAAAUUAAAAAAAUAAUUUAAAAUCGAUAUAUGCUACAAUGUAGGUGAACUUCAGUAAUACUAUGGUCAGUGAAAGAAGCCAGAAAAAAGGUCCCAUAUUUUAUGAUUCCAUGUAUUUACAGUAUCCACAAAAGUAAAUCUAUAGAAUCAGACUACAGGCUAGUGGUUGUCAGAGGCUGGGGGGUAGAGGCUAUGGGGAAUGACUGCGUAAUGGCUGUAGGUUUCCUAGAUAGACCUGAUGGUUGUUCAUGUGAAUUGUAUACUCUUAAACAGUUAAUUCUGUAUAAAGUUUACCUCAGUUUUUUUUAAAAAAGUCCUUGGUGCAAGUACGGUUUUGCUGCUAACUAGUUAUGAACCUUGACCUCAUUGCCUCUCUUGUAAAGGGUUCAAUUUUUUUUUUUUUUUAAGAUUUUAUUUA